GAUUAGAGUUUGAUCAUGGCUCAGGACGAACGCUGGCGGCGUGCUUAACACAUGCAAGUCUAGGAGAAUAAGGUAGCAAUAUCUUUAGUAAACUGGCGCACGGGUGAGUAAUAUAUAAGCAACCAACCUUUAGGUUAGGAAUAACUCGUCGAAAGAUGGGCUAAUACCAAAUAACUCAACGCUAUCGCAUGGUAGUGUUGUUAAAGUCCUUGAGACGCCUAUAGAUGGGCUUGUCUUCGAUUAGCUAGUUGGUAGGGUAAUGGCCUACCAAGGCAACGAUCGAUAGCUGGUCUGAGAGGAUGAUCAGCCACACUGGAACUGAGACACGGUCCAGACUCCUACGGGAGGCAGCAGUGAGGAAUAUUGGGCAAUGCCCGGAAGGGUGACCCAGCAACGCCGCGUGAAGGAUGAAGGUCGUAAGAUUGUAAACUUCUUUUGAUGGGGACGAAAAAGCGGAGUAACACUCUGCAUGACUGACCCAAGAAAGCC
rnacentral:rRNA from 1 species